rnacentral:lncRNA from 1 species
AAGCUCGUGACGGCGGUCGCCCGUCAAGCGGCGGCCACAUCUCGCGCCGCCCGCUUAGCUGCGGUGGCGCGCCAUGACGCGGCGGCCGCAUCUCGCUCCGCCGGCUUAGCUGCGGCGGCCGCAUCUCGCGCCGCCCGCUUGAAGCCUCGUCCCCCACUGGACGACGCUGCCCGCCUCUCCUUCCGCUACAGCAGUGAACCUCCAGAUGAUGGAAAGUGCGUGACAAAAGAGGACCUUGAGUCGGACGAAGCCGUGUGGGCCUUAUUUGAGCGCUAUUGCAAGUCAUACAACAGGAAGUAUGAUCAUGCUCAGAUGGUUCGCCGCUUCCGUAUAUUCAAGUUCAAUGCAAAGAGAACAUAUUGCUGGAACCAGUAUCUUCAUACAGACGUAAAGGAAUUAGCUCGCGCCAAAAAGGAUAGGGAUUUAGGACUACCUGUCGACUCUUGGUACCUACAAAAAGAGUUAGGCGAAUACGACGAUGGGGGGGAGCCACUUACUGAAAAUUGGCGGAAAUUUUGA